AUAGAGGAAGCCGAAAAUCAUUAAAGAGUAGGCA
rfam:Nonlabens sediminis DNA, contig: contig00010, strain: JCM 19294.